rnacentral:rRNA from 1 species
UACGGGAGGGGCUAGCGUUGUUCGGAAUUACUGGGCGUAAAGAGCGCGUAGGCGGCUUACCAAGUUGGGGGUGAAAUCCCGGAGCUCAACUCCGGAACUGCCUUCAAAACUGGUAGGCUCGAGUCCGGAAGAGGGGCGUGGAAUUCCCAGUGUAGAGGUGAAAUUCGUAGAUAUUGGGAAGAACACCGGUGGCGAAGGCGGCGCCCUGGUCCGGUACUGACGCUGAGGUGCGAAAGCGUGGGGAGCAAUCAGG